GAUGAACGCUGGCGGCGUGCCUAAUACAUGCAAGUCGAGCGAACAGACGAGGAGCUUGCUCCUUCGACGUUAGCGGCGGACGGGUGAGUAACACGUAGGUAACCUACCUAUAAGACUGGGAUAACUUCGGGAAACCGGAACUAAUACCGGAUAAUAUUUCGAACCGCAUGGUUCGAUAGUGAAAGAUGGCUUUGCUAUCACUUAUAGAUGGACCUGCGCCGUAUUAGCUAGUUGGUAAGGUAACGGCUUACCAAGGCAACGAUACGUAGCCGACCUGAGAGGGUGAUCGGCCACACUGGAACUGAGACACGGCCCAGACUCCUACGGGAGGCAGCAGUAGGGAAUCUUCCGCAAUGGGCGAAAGCCUGACGGAGCAACGCCGCGUGAGUGAUGAAGGUCUUCGGAUCGUAAAACUCUGUUAUUAGGGAAGAACAAACGUGUAAGUAACUGUGCACGUCUUGACGGUACCUAAUCAGAAAGCCACGGCUAACUACGUG
rnacentral:rRNA from 1 species